UACGUAGGGCGCAAGCGUUAUCCGGAAUUAUUGGGCGUAAAGAGCUCGUAGGCGGUUUGUCGCGUCUGCCGUGAAAGUCCGGGCUCAACUCCGGAUCUGCGGUGGGUACGGGCAGACUAGAGUGAUGUAGGGGAGACUGGAAUUCCUGGUGUAGCGGUGAAAUGCGCAGAGUAUCAGGAGGAACACCGAUGGCGAAGGCAGGUCUCUGGGCAUUAACUGACGCUGAGGAGCGAAAGCAUGGGGAGCGA
rnacentral:rRNA from 1 species